AAAUUUUGUUACUGAUGAUAAAGCUAACCAAGGCAAGCUUGUCUCUACUUAAAUCCUCCUGCAUAUAUACGAUAGAAUAAUAUUUGGUUUGGAUAGUAACCAAAUUUCAAAUAAGUCCAUAUAGUUAAAAAAUUUGUAAUCGUGUGGUUUUAUUUUGUUAUGUGUGGAGGAAUGCAUUGUUAUUGAAUUGAGAAUACAGCAUGGAACAAAGCAGAUUGGUUUCAUGGCUGUUAUGAUCACUUCUUCUGUUGAUGAUGGAGAUUUCUGCUGCUGUUCUUUCUCCUUCUAGCAUAAACUAUGAAGGUUAACCUUUUCUUUAAUUUUCUUCCCCACUUCCCUUUUUCAUUUUGAUCUUUGGUCAAGUUAAUUAUGCUGGAAAUUACUAGGAAUGAUAGCUGAAAGAUUGAUGAUGAUGCUAUUCUGUGACUUGUUAUUUCCUUUUCUUUUUUGCCUUGAGAAUCUUAUCUCUUAAGUACUUCCUAAUUACCUGUUACAUAGUGGCAUAUUCACUCAAAGUAGAUGCAGUUACAGUGAUGCUUAAUUGGUACAGGUUGCUUCAGAACAAUGCAAUUUCCGGUCAGAUUCCUACAGCAAUUGGAAGCCUAGAAAAGCUUCAGACACUUGAUCUCUCCAAUAACGAUUUUAGUGGCGAGAUACCAAAUUCUUUGGGAGGCCUCUCAAGAACCUGAAUUAUUUAAACUGAGAAGCAGAUCUUUGAUGCUAUCUUGGAAGGGAAAUUAGAUCUAGAAAGCGCACCAUGGCCUUCUAUUUCAGCUGCUGCAAAAGAUUUGAUCAGGAAAAUGUUAGCCUAUGAACCUAAGAAACGCAUCACAGCUUCUGCUACCCUUGAACACCCUUGGAUGAAGGAAGUGGGGGAAACAUCUGACAAGCCUAUAGACAAUGCGGUUUUAAGUAGGAUGAAACAAUUCAGAGCAAUGAACAAGACGAAGAAACUUGCUUUAAAGGUGAUAGCAUAAAAUCUUUCAGAGGAAGAAAUCAGGGCCUAGAACAAAUGUUCAACAAUAUGGAUACGAAUCGCAUCGGCACAAUCACUUUCGAAGAACUGAAAUCUGGUUUGUCCAGAUUGGGGCCAUUGACUAUUAUGAAUUCAUUACUGCCAUCAUGCAUCGGCAUAAACUUGAGAAGGAAGAAGUAUUUGAUUUUGCAGACAUUUAAUGGGAAGAAGUGAGAGAAGUUUAAUAGUGAAAAAGUUGCUUCCCUGGCAUAUGCACGAAUCGAAGGAAAGGCUACACUGGUGAACCACUUCCAUAAUUCAAUUUCUGCACGCUGCCAAUGAGCUGUGGAACUUUGAAAACAGAAUCUUCUUUUGUUUUUGAUGUAGUAUAGUUGAACAAUACAGUAAGUUUAUAUUUUGAAUCAUAGUUGAUGUAUCAAUACACUUUGUUGAUGUAUGGUUGUUAUUUAUUAUUAUAGUUGAUGUAUCAAUAUACUUUGUUUAUGUUUUGAA